rnacentral:rRNA from 1 species
UCGUUUGAUGAAUUCAUAGUCAAUCGAGGCAAACCGGGGAAACUGAAACAUCUCAGUACCCCGAGGAAAAGAAAUCAACCGAGAUUCCCCCAGUAGCGGCGAGCGAACGGGGAGCAGCCCAGAGUCAACAUCAAUAUUUACCGCAGGAGAAGGGUCUGGAAAGGCCGGCAAUAAAGGGUGAUAGCCCCGUAUCUGAAGCGGUAAGUGUUGUGAACUCGAAGAGUAGGGCGGGACACGUGUUAUUCUGUCUGAAUAUGGGGGGACCCAUCCUCCAAGGCUAAAUACUCCUGACUGACCGAUAGUGAACCAGUACCGUGAGGGAAAGGCGAAAAGAACCCCGGCGAGGGGAGUGAAAUAGAACCUAAAACCGUGUACGUACAAGCAGUGGGAGCACCCGAAAGGGUGUGACUGCGUACCUUUUGUAUAAUGGGUCAGCGACUUAUAUUCUGUAGCAAGGUUAACCGCAUAGGGGAGCCGUAGGGAAACCGAGUCUUAACUGGGCGUUAAGUUGCAGGGUAUAGACCCGAAACCCGGUGAUCUAGCCAUGGGCAGGUUGAAGGUUGGGUAACACUAACUG